UACGAACUGCGCGAACGUUAUUCGGAAUCACUGGGCUUACAGGGUGCGUAGGCGGCCAGCCAGGUCCGAUGUGAAAUCCCACAGCUCAACUGUGGAAUGGCAUUGGAAACCGGUUGGCUCGAGUGAGCUAGAGGUACACGGAACUUCCGGUGGAGCGGUGAAAUGUGUUGAGAUCGGAAGGAACACCAGAGGCGAAGGCGGUGUACUGGGGCUUGUCUGACGCUGAGGCACGAAAGCCAGGGGAGCGAACGGG
rnacentral:rRNA from 1 species